GACGAACGCUGGCGGCGUGCUUAUCACAUGCAAGUCGAACGGUGACGACUGGAGCUUGCUCCGGUCUGAUCAGUGGCGAACGGGUGAGUAACACGUGAGUAACCUGCCCCAGACUCUGGAAUAACCCCGGGAAACCGGAGCUAAUACCGGAUACGAGACGGAGAGGCAUCUCUACCGUCUGGAAAGUUUUUCGGUCUGGGAUGGACUCGCGGCCUAUCAGCGUGUUGGUGAGGGAACGGCUCACCAAGGCGACGACGGGUAGCCGGCCUGAGAGGGCGGCCGGCCACACGGGGACUGAGACACGGCCCAGACUCCUACGGGAGGCAGCAGGGGGGAAUAUUGCACAAUGGGCGAAAGCCUGAUGCAGCGACGCCGCGUGAGGGAUGACGGCCUUCGGGUUGUAAACCUCUUUCAGCAGGGAAGAAGCGAAAGUGACGGUACCUGCAGAAGAAGCACCGGCUAACUACGUGCCAGCAGCCGCUGUAACAC
rnacentral:rRNA from 1 species